rnacentral:piRNA from 1 species
UCAGUUCAAUAGAGUUGCAAAUGUCUGUGGUC